UGGUUCUCAAAAUUUUGCCGUCAAAGGAUCACCUGGAGGAAUUUUCAAACACAAGCCACUGCAAUUCCCAUUCCUCUUUCACAGCACCCCGGGAGAGAAAGUGCCCAUCACUCCUCCUCCUGCAGUUCCUUCAGGCAGCAAUGCUGUUAAGUAGAACUGGGAAGCAAUAUGGUGCCCUCCAGAGUGUCAAGAGAAGACAAGAAAUGUAUCACCCUAGAUCAGUACCCUUGCCUUGCUUUCUGACUUGAGCCGCCCUGACAUCUGCUUGCAUUGUCCCUGUAGUCAAGGAGCCAGAUCUCUGCUGUCGCCAUCUCUCCUGCUACUAACUGCAUAUAUUGCUGGAUAACCCUGGGCGGUAGAUAUAUGUUAACUACAUUUUACAGAUGAGGAGGAUGAGUGUCGGAGAGGCCAAAUAACUUCAGAGUAAUGAAGAGCUGAUAAGUGGGCUAAAUCCGAAAGUCAAUAUUUAGUCACUAGCAAAGCCAAAUUCCAUCAGAUGUCCGGGAGGAGCACGGUAGAAUACUUGCGAUCAGAAACUUUCGUAGCAAUACCUCUGGAGGAAUUCAAAGAUACAUGAGUGUCCAACCUGCUCAUCUAUUCUUCAAACUACUACCUCAUACAAAUCCUUGGGGAGUCUGGGACUGGUUUUGGAUUAUCUUACAACUGAUGUAUAGACAGUAGAUGUUUUCAAAGCUUGAAGGAACUUAACGUGUGUUUUCCUCAGGAUUGCGCCAUUCAGAGCUCUUAUUUGCCACUUUUUAUUUACACUUUGAAGAAUGGAUUUGCCAAACAAAAGCAAAUUGCAACUCAUCUCCUGCCUAAAAUCUUUAAACAGAAUCUAAAAGAUGGGGUUAGACUUGAAUUUAGAAUCACAGAAAAGCAUUAAAUUGGGAAUGAACAUUUAACGAUGGUCCCAUCCAGUGGUUCCAAACCCUGGGCUUCCAGCCCUGAUGUGACAGAACCAUCUGGGAAGCUUUUCAGAAAAUACAGAAUCCCUGAACCUUUCCCUAGAAAUUUGUUUUCAGUCUUUAGGGUGGAGCUGGGGAAUCUGUAUUUUUAUAAAAUUUAUUGGUUGUAAUUUAAUAAACAUUAAAAGCAACUGGAUGGGCAAAGGCAUCUCAAGUCAAAAGACCAAGCACAAAACAGGAAUUAAUCUUCGUAACUCGUAGGCCAACCUUGGGCUGAGAGCCAGGAGAGAGAGUAUCAUCAGACAAGACCCUCCAAGCCAGCACAGGCACUCUGUGCACCCUCUGGGCCCACACACUGGGCAGGACUGUGUGCGUGGGGCUGUGGGAUGCACGUUUAUUUAUUUAUAAAGGAAGAUUUGGUGUCUGGUCUCUGACCACAGCUCAUCUUCAAACGUCCAUGGAGCCUACCCCCAUUCCUCCCAUCACUGGGCCAGUGGUGCUCUCAUCUGCCCCCUCUCACUUCCCCAAAUAACGGGGAGAAACCCUGGAAGGCCUGAGCAGUCCUUGGAAGGGAAGCCUCUUGCAGAGCCUCGUCAUCUCAGGAGUCCCUUUUUUGGCGGAAGCGGCUCUCGCUGCACAGCUGGAGGAUCUGGAGCAGAACACAUCCAAGGUCCACAAACACAAACCCAGGGAUUUUGUUCUUUCGUGUUGUGGCCUGUAAGCCUUGCUGUAGCGUGUUCCCCCAAUUUCCCUCUUUCCCUUUUUAGUAUUUUAUUUGGUUCCAUUCCUUUCUGUGUGAACAGUUGGUCCUCAUAAUCCCUGAGCAGCUUGUAGCUGGUUUUUACCGUCAUUCCACAUGGUCACUCCGUUCGGUUCCAGCAAGCACGUUGAGGUUUGGACAUCCUCUUCACAUAGCUGUCAACUCGUUUCUCUAAGCUCUAGGCCAGAGUGGCCACUAUGUGUGAGUUGGUUUUCCUUUUUUGCUGCUGAAAGUGUAUCUUUAUCACUGCCUGCUCUGGGAUUGGGAUGAUUCCUCUGCUUUAGCAGAAUGUUAAAAUAAUUUCCAAGAUCAUCCUGAAGAGGCAGAGUUCUAACAUCUGCUAAUAAAGAAUGGCUCCAAACAAAGUGGCCUGGAUUAGCCUUGCAAGGGUGGAAAUGGCAACAGGCUGGCCUCCAAGAUGCUGUAAUAUUACAUGCGCGCCCUGCCGGCCUCAGCCUUGGAACCCUACAAACCACCAUCUUGAGAACAUCAAAGGAAAUAUUUUCCACUUCUAGAGGCUGCCAGAUCCUAGAGGUA
ensembl:lncRNA